UGAGACACCUGGUAGACAAAACUAGCUACAUGUUUGUACAUGCAAGACCAAUAGCCAGAUCGUGAAUGCUGAUGAUAAUACACUAUGCAGUCUUAGGUCAAAGGUUGGAAAAGGAAAGCAUGGCAUUAACUUCAAUAUCAGAUCAUGGAACACAUAAAAUCAAACUUUCAGAUAUGUUUGCUAUAAACUAGAAUUAGCAAUACUAAUUGGCCACAUCCACCUUUGGCAGGCAACCCUCAAAGAAUUGGUCAAGAGUGAAUGUGGUCCUUCAGCCAAAAAGUAAAAAAGAGUUAGCUACUUCUGCACCAGGCUCUUGAUGGAUUAUUACAUCAAGUGCAGACAAAAUAGGUCAUUAUUCUCAUUUGAUGUAUAGGAACUUGGAUGAAGGACUAAUUCAAAACCACCUAAAGAUCCAAGAUAGAUGUGGGACCUACACCUAACUUUUUACCGCUACACCAUGUUGACUUAAUUGUUAGGAAGAUAACAAACAAGAGUAUUCAAAACAAAAAAGCAGCAUUUCAACUCUUUGAUGUACUGGAAUUUGAAAGGUCCAUUUGGCAACAUUUCCCAAUCAAGAUGGAUAAUCAGCAGAAUGGCGUUCCAUGGUUUCAAGUUAAGAAUAAUUUUCACAGGAGGCAUUUUGCUGCUGAAGUCUGUCACCAGUCUUUAAGAAAAGGAAAAAGAAUGGAACAUACUUGCCCCCCCUUUCAAAUAUGCCAUUAUGGAGUGGUAUAAGAGGGACAAAAAACCCAGCAGAAUCAGCCUACUAUGGUGAUAAAAAGAGUCACCAUAUCACCAAAAGGUACAACCAUGUUUGUAGCUCAAUAGCUGUUGACUUCAUGAUUUAUUUUGUGUUUAGUCAUCAUUUAAUCUAUCUGAAUUGACUACUUCAAUUAUGUGGUGCUCUAGAAAUGGCAAAACUUGACAAGGAGGGGAAAAUGAUGAAUAUUUAAAAUUUGAGGAAGGGCUUUGCUUGGAUAGUAGGAUUCUGGUUUUAACAAAACAAAAAUGCCAUGUUCUGCCAUAGAGAGUUGCCACUAGUUGCCAAAACAUUUUCUUGCUGAACCAAUCCAGUGAAGUGAUUAUCUUUGAUUAGAUGGGAUCAACUGCAAGAAUAAGGCCUGUCAAGGCUGACGUUUUCUUUUUGAGUAUUGAAGCACCACAAGCAUGGGUCAACACUGUUUCUUAGGUCUGUUGAUCUGGGCAUAGAGAGGUUCUCUUUCCUGGGGACAAUAGAAAGAAAUAUGAAUAGAGACAAUUCCAGCUACCUGUAUGUGAACAGAUUUUAGGAAAGUAGGUAAAGAAGGAUAAAAUGCUAAAGAAACAGCAUUUUUAUUUUACUAGUUUGAAUUAUGAUUAUUUUCCAAAAAACAAUUAAAAAAAGAUUCAGUAAUUCUGCACUACAAGUGUUCAUCAAGAACCCAAUUGCUAAGCUGAAAUAAUUACAAUGAAAUGAAAGAGAGUUCAUAUACAUAACACAGUACAAGAGAAACCAGAAAAGGUCAACUUUGCAAUUAUUGAUUUUAAACAUGUGGAGCAAAUCACCACUUUCAGCUUAUAAAAAUGUAGUUUGAAUUUGGAGAAAUAAUGAGAAAUUGUUUCCCUGUAAUCCAGUUAAAAUUUUCAGAUCAAUACACCUUCUAGCUAGUUGAUUUGGGAUUGCUUCACUCCAGAAUCAGUGUAGGUUCAAACAAGGAUGAUGGCUGAGCUAACAAUAAGGCCAAUGUGCCAUAUAUCACCUUCUCAUUCCAUGAUGUAAUAAACAUUCAAAAUCCAAAUAAACUUUAAAUCAGUGACACUGGACGUAUCUGUAGAGCUAUCAUGCAAUACGCAUUGGUAAGCUUGUCCAUACAAAUGUCAAGAAAUGUGAGAACUGUUUUGAUGAAAACGAAGACAUAACUUCCUAAAGUAUCUAAACAUUUAUAUGAAUUGUCAUAGUAAAUUGACAUCAAGCUCUUGUGACACUGAAAUCCUGGUGUGGAGCACAAUGCUGCAGUGUUGUGGGACACAUGCUCCCUCAUUGCCAGGUUCAAUAGUGCACAAAUGCAAGUAAUGAAGAUUCUGGAGAACCGGAAAGGUUGCUCACAACUUUGUGUCAUUAAAAUUGGUCCUGAUAAAAAUAUUAUCACAUUGUGACUUUGGAUCCCAACAGAGCAUUUUUAAAAUAAAUGCUUGUUUUAUUUCUUUAUCUACAUCUUUAUCUAUUUGUAUUAGACGAUUAAUGAUUGUUUGAUAGUCUCCAAACCAACUGUGUGUUAUUUGAUUUUUGGAUUUUUAAAAAAGUUUUACUUCACUUAUAUAUAUUCCAUUUUUAUUUUAUUAAAAUGAGGUUGUAACAAUAUUUGUUUUUAUCUGAUGAUUCAAUGGUCUGUUGACUGUAAAAAAUUUUGA